rnacentral:pre_miRNA from 1 species
AUGUCCUUAUGCCACGAGGGACAUGGGGGUNGUUAACAGCCCAAUGUCCCUCUUGAUGGCAC